rnacentral:rRNA from 1 species
UGGACCUUGCGUUGAGACAAUGUUCGAGCAUGGGCCUCCCUUCUCGGGAAGCUCCCUCGACCCCACGACCCCCUUGACCUCANAUCGGGUGAGACUACCCGC